rnacentral:miRNA from 1 species
UGUGUGUGUGUGUGUGUGUGUGUGUGUGUGUGUAAUGUUAUAACAACAUAACACACACACACACACACACACACACACACACA